CUCCCUUUUCCAAUUGCCUUGGACUUCUGGGCUUACUUUUGGCAUCAUCUCCUAGAGGCAUUUUGCCGGGGGAUGAGAGAUCGGUAAAUGGAACCUCUGAAAGCUGAUUGUUUGGCUUCUGUGUGACUGAGGAGAAAAAGAAUCAAGUUCGGACAAAGGAAUUAAGUCGUCUUUGAAGAAGUUUAAAGAGGAACGCAUACAAAAGAAAUGAAUUCCUCUAUUGCAAGAAGUAAUGAUUACUUGCUGAUGUGAAAGAUAAAUAAGCUGAUGCUCCACUGGGUGUUCUGAACAACAUGCUUCUAGAAAGAGUAAUCUACUGCUAUGUCUCCAAAUUACCAAGUUCCU